GAUCAUGGCUCAGGAUGAACGCUAGCUACAGGCUUAACACAUGCAAGUCGAGGGGCAUCAGUUUGGUUUGCUUGCAAACCAAAGCUGGCGACCGGCGCACGGGUGAGUAACACGUAUCCAACCUGCCUCAUACUCGGGGAUAGCCUUUCGAAAGAAAGAUUAAUAUCCGAUAGCAUAUAUUUCCCGCAUGGGUUUUAGUUAUUAAAGUAAAAUUACGGUUAGUGAGAUGGGGAGUGCGUUCCCUAUUUAAG
rnacentral:rRNA from 1 species